rnacentral:lncRNA from 10 species
CUGUGCUAUUCAUCAUACAUAUCAGCUCUCCCAUUUGGGGGGCACAUAGUAGAAUUGUACUCUCUUGCUCCUUUUUGCUUGGGUGGGACCACAGGACUAGUUCUAGCCAAUGAGUUUGAGUGGAAGUCAUAAUUCAUGUUACUUCAGAACUGGAUCAUUUAGUUGCCACUGCGAGAUACUCCACAGCUGUCUCUCUUCUCAGUCAUGUUGCCCUGUUAUCCUGAGUUGUGAGGAUGAUGAUGACACUAGAGCAAAGCUCUAAGCUGAAUGAUCCACAGUGGACAUGUUGUAUGAGUUUGCAAUUCAACUGAAAAAAAAUCAAAGACACCUGAGAACAUUUUAUGACUUAAAAAGUUUUCUUUUCUUGAAAUAAAAACUACUGCUGGAGAUCUCUCCUCCCAUAUCUUAUCAGCUCAACUACCUAGUGUGAUUUGAAUCACCCGAACCUCAGCUUAAGGAAGAGAGAGAGAGAGAAAAGAAAAACCUUUGGUAAAGUCUGAUUAUAAAAGGAGAAUUGGAGGCUUACCAAACAUCUGAAGAGCUUUCCAGAAGUUUGGUCACUUCUGAAUUAGAGAAGUUAAAACCCAAUCACCUACUAAUGCUGUGGGAAAGUUCUGCAGGUGAUACAUCACAGGGGCUCAUGAAUGUGUCUUAAGCUGGGUCAUUGAAGUGGAAUGUUUUCACAAGACCUCCUCCACUUGCUACUGUGUCCGGAAUUGGUGGGUUCUUGGUCUCACUGACUUCAAGAAUGAAGCCGCGGACCCUCGCGGGAGUGGCAAAUCAAAGGCAUUGCAGCCUCUUUCAUCACUGCCGAUUGCUGAUGCCAACCAUGUGCCAAGUGCUUAAUACGUCACCUUAAAUCUUCUCAUCCACCCUCAGAGUAGCUGCAGCAUCAACCCAGUGCCCUGACUUUCAAGACGACUAUGAAAACACCCCAACUGCUGCUAAAUUACCAGCAACAAGGAUCUGACAUUCUUAUUCAAAAGAAAGAACACCGAAAUUGACCUUACCCUGACAAUAUGAUGGCUGAAGGAUUUAUGAUCACUUAUAACAUUUGAAAUUGAGGCGGAACCUGAAGAAUAAGACUCUGGUGAAAGGUCCUAUUUAUGCUUUUGAUGUCUUUCACUUGGACAUUUACCACAUGCCUAUUGGUAGGUUUGUUACAUAGGUCAGUUAAGGUGAUACAAGAAUAAAUAAAACACUAUCCCUAUCCUUUAAUAUCAUUUAUUUAUGGGGUCAAUCACAGAUUUUCAUUUUUCAAAAUCUUUGAUAAAUGUCAGAAUUAUGUUUUUUAAUAUUUUUACAGAAUUAUUACAAUAUAUGGUAGAGGAUGGAAGGCAAGGUAGUAUGAAACGGAAAAGAUAUUUUGAAUUAAGGUAUUUGGACCUGGAUUAAUAUUUUUGCUUUGGUCUUUAUUAGCUGAGUGACCUUGAGAAAGUUCUUCUACUAAAAAAGAACAAAGAUAAUAAUUACUUCAUGAAAUUGCUGUAAAAAACACAUAACAAGUAUAUCCAGACUCAACAGUGUAUGCUCAAAAAUGCAGAUCCUUUUUCCCUUACCUGCAAAUAAAGUCUUACAGUAAUACAGUGGGGGUAAAGGUUUAAACUGGUGGAUUCAAGAAGGGCUAUAGAAAGAGGUAGCAUCUUAAUAGGGGAAGGAGAGGAUCCAAGAAAUCAGAUCCAUUUUCUACAAAAAGAAAUGGGAAGACAGAUAAUUCAAGAAGAAAAGUUUACAUGAUUAAAGACCCGAAGUUAGAAAUAGUGAUGUGUCUCAAUAGUAAGUUAGGAAUUGGGGUGGACACAAUUGUUGGAAGAAGGAUGGUUUCAGCAAAGGCCCAAGUUAGGUGACAAUUUCAAGUGUUUGUGAAGAUAUAUGAACAAAAUUAUAAAGUAGUUAGGGUAUAAGAAAUAGGGAGGAGGGAAUGAAUUAACAUUUAUGGAGUGUCUUGCAUGUUCCAAGCACUGUACUACUUGCCUUAUAAACCUUUCUUCAAUAAACGCCUACAACAAUCCUGAGAUGUGGAAUUAUUAGUUCCUCAAUGGACCCAGAGAGUUUCAAUUAUGUGCUUAAGAACACAGAGUUAGUAAAGGACAGAGACAGAAUUCAAAUUAAGCCUAUGUUACUCCACAUCCUAUGCAUUCACUAAACCUCUCAAGAAAACCAAUUUAUUGGACCUUUUAAUCAUUUAAGAAUGAGAUGAUAGGGGGCGGUUCCAAGAUGGCCAAAUAGGAACAGCUCCAGUCUACAGCU